rnacentral:rRNA from 1 species
UACAGAGGUCUCAAGCGUUGUUCGGAUUCAUUGGGCGUAAAGGGUGCGUAGGCGGCGCGGUAAGUCGGAUGUGAAAUCUCGGAGCUUAACUUCGAAACUGCAUUCGAUACUGCCGUGCUUGAGGACUGGAGAGGAGACUGGAAUUUACGGUGUAGCGGUGAAAUGCGUAGAGAUCCGGCGGAACACCGGUGGUGAAGACGGUCUCCUGGGCCGAGGGCCGACGCUGAGGCGCGAGAGCGUGGGGAGCGAACCGG